AAAUACUCCCUAGUGACCGAUAGUGAACCAGUACCGUGAGGGAAAGGUGAAAAGCACCCCGGAAGGGGAGUGAAAGAGAUCCUGAAACCGUGUGCCUACAAGUAGUCAGAGCCCGUUAACGGGUGAUGGCGUGCCUUUUGUAGAAUGAACCGGCGAGUUACGAUCCCGUGCAAGGUUAAGUUUGAAAAGACGGAGCCGCAGCGAAAGCGAGUCUGAAUAGGGCGCAUGAGUACGUGGUCGUAGACCCGAAACCAGGUGAUCUACCCAUGUCCAGGGUGAAGUUCAGGUAACACUGAAUGGAGGCCCGAACCCACGCACGUUGAAAAGUGCGGGGAUGAGGUGUGGGUAGGGGUGAAAUGCCAAUCGAACCUGGAGAUAGCUGGUUCUCUCCGAAAUAGCUUUAGGGCUAGCCUCAAGGUAAGAG
rnacentral:rRNA from 1 species